rnacentral:rRNA from 1 species
UACGAAGGGAGCUAGCGUUGUUCGGAAUCACUGGGCGUAAAGCGCACGUAGGCGGAUUUGUCAGUCAGGGGUGAAAUCCCGGGGCUCAACCUCGGAACUGCCUUUGAUACAGCAAGUCUUGAGUUCGAGAGAGGUGGGUGGAAUUCCUAGUGUAGAGGUGAAAUUCGUAGAUAUUAGGAAGAACAACCGGUGGCGAAGGCGGCCCACUGGCUCGAUACUGACGCUGAGGUGCGAAAGCGUGGGGAGCAAACAG